ACCCAUUUGCACAUGUUCUUUCAUUUUCUUUUCCUUCCCAGUUGGAUCUGCCUGCCGUCAAGACUCACCACUUCCCACCUGUACACUGCUGUCUGUCCUCAUUUCAAGUGAAUCACCUUGCGGUCUUCUUAUGCCAGGUUCAGAGCUAAUGCCAGACGCUGUGGAAGGAUUGUUUUUUGACUCUCUAAUACUGUGGAAGAAAAAGAGAUCUUCCAGAUAUCGGAGUUCUCCUGACAGCUGAAGAAGGGAUGGAUGAGCUGGGGUCUCAAUUCAUCAGAACAUCAAGGUAGGAGGCUGGUGCCUGCCACUCACUCUUCUCACCUGAGUCGUUCCGACGUGUAAGAUCACGCUCCUAUUUGGAAGCAGAAAACACUUGUCAAAGCUGGAUGCACAGGUCCAUUCAUCCAAAGGUGGUAUGAAAGGGUGCAGAUGGAAUGGUGAAUUGGGCAGUUUGC
rnacentral:lncRNA from 1 species